ensembl:lncRNA
GAAAAGCCCCGCGGUCUUUGUUCAAAAGCAUUUCCUUUUUCUUUCCUUUUCUUUAAGUUAAGGGACAUGUAAACUUCUAUAGAAAACUACACCCACACAUGAUGUCGGGUCAAUAGCUCCACAAUCACGCUUUUUCUCUUGAGAAAUCAAAGAAAAAGAAGGAAGACGUUAAGAAAGCAAAGCAGAAGAAGCCUGGCCAGAAGGAAUCUCAGAAGGAGAGACGCGCGGGAGUCGACGAGCAACCUGCUCCUCCUAUGGUGAAGAAGCCCCCAACACGGGAGCCCAUGUCCAGUGAGAGCCGAGGCGGAGCAGUGGAGGGUCAAAGGGCCCCAAGAAGGAAUGCGUUUGAGGAGCGACCGUAUGAGCCAGAACAGUACUACCAGGAAAACUUCGGCCCCAAGGCCGACCUAUUCUCAAACUUUAAAUGGGUUCCAAGCGAGCUGAGCCGAUGCUAAAAGGUGACGUCGCCUGGAAACUACCUGUACAAUCAAUAUCCUAUGCUGAGUAAAUCUUUCAAGGUGGAGAGUCUGUACUGUCAUGCAGUUUUCUUCGGUUUGAACAAAUCAUAAGUGUUAUUUGUAGUUGACCUUGAUAUAACUACUGUAGCUGUAUUACUUAGGCUGAAUCACUAACAAAGUGUAAAUCAUUUCAAACAUUUCAGCAGACACUUGUUAACUCUCUGGGAAGGAAGGCCACACCACAACCAAUCUCGGAAUACGACCUCAGAUCAGACGAGACAACCCGCUGAACUUAAGCAUAUCAGUAAGCGGAGGAAAAUAAAUGCUGGAAAAGGGAACCCUGGUGUCCUGGUUACGGGGGACGAUGGCUCCACGCUGCUACAGGUUGUUGGUUCUUGGUUCUUUUUGAUGGCUUCCUUUUACACUCAACAGCAGCACACACAUCUCACUCAUCCAUGCACUACAUUCACCACUGAUGCCACUACUCUCCACACCUCAUGCUAUUGGUAAAUAUGAUUGUUUAAGUUAUAAUAAAACCUUUUCAUUUAUCACUUUCAACCUGACUUGUCUCCCCUCCUUGUCACAUAUGCUGAG